rnacentral:rRNA from 1 species
GGAUCAAUGUUUCGGUCAUGCCGUUGGUAUGUACUGAUAUUAUUGAUUUCUCACCUUCUAAAGAACCGUAAUGCCAUUAAUUUGGUGUCACGGAUGAUGGACUGUUACCUUGAAAAAAUUAGAGUGUUUAAAGCAGGCUCACGCUUGAAUACAUUAGCAUGGAAUAAUGAAAUAGGACAUCCGAUUCUAUUUUGUUGGUUUCUAGGAUCGAUGUAAUGAUUAAUAGGGAUAGUUGGCGU